CUGGGUGACACCGUUUGUAGCCAGGGGCAGUGCUGGCCCAGGGCUGUGAGAUGUUCCAGGGCUGCAGAGACUAGUUAAACUUGUUACUGUGCGAACUCUGCCGGCUGUUGCCUUUCCUUGGCUUCCUUCUCAACUCCAUGUGUACAGACCUGCCCCAAAGAGGAAGAUUAGCCCUGAGCUAACUGCUGCCAAUCCUCUUCUUUUUGCUGAGGAAGACUGGCCCUGAGCUCACAUCUGUGCCCAUCUUCCUCUACUUUAUAUGUGGGAUACCUACCACAGCAUGGCGUGCCAAGUGGUGCCAUGUCCGCACCCGGGAUCCAAACUGGCGAACCCCCGGCCACCGAAGUGCAACAUGUGCCCUUAAGCACUGUGCCACGUGGCCGGCCCCUAAAAUCCUUUUAAUUUUAAAAUAUAUCUGGAAUGCAAAUAUUUCUCAUUAUCUCCUCCACUGCGACUCUGGUCCAAGCCACCAUCAUCUCACUCGGAUUAUUGGAACUGCCUCCUCACUGGUCUCCUAUGCAACAGCCAGAGUGACCAUUUAAAACACAAGUCCUUCUUCAGUUCUCAAC
rnacentral:lncRNA from 1 species